UGCCAGACUCCUACGGGAGGCAGCAGUGGGGGAUAUUGCACAAUGGGGGAAACCCUGAUGCAGCGACGCCGCGUGAGUGAAGAAGUACUUCGGUAUGUAAAGCUCUAUCAGCAGGGAAGAAGAUGGACGGUACCUGAGUAAGAAGCCCCGGCUAACUACGUGCCAGCAGCCGCGGUAAUACGGAGGGUGCAAGCGUUGUCCGGAAUUACUGGGCGUAAAGGGCGCGUAGGUGGGCGCUUAAGUCAGGUGUGAAAACUCCGGGCUCAACCUGGAGACUGCACUUGAAACUGGGUGUCUUGAGGGCAGGAGAGGCAAGUGGAAUUCCUAGUGUAGCGGUGAAAUGCGUAGAUAUUAGGAGGAACACCAGUGGCGAAGGCGGCUUGCUGGACUGUAACUGACGUUGAGGCUCGAAAGCGUGGGGAGCAAACAGGAUUAGAUACCCCUGUAACA
rnacentral:rRNA from 1 species